UCCAGAGCCUGGAACAGAAACCAGAAUGCAAAGAGAGCCUGAAUUGUUUUAUCUUGCUCACUCAGGUGUUGCAGGUGCCUGGAAGGGUGCCCAACAGAGAGUAGUAGGCACUGAAUACACUGAAUGAAAACUGGUGAAUGAAUGAGUUGGGACAACAGAGUUCUCUACCAGUCUGCUUCCAUUCCUGCUCCGAGGGAACCAGUUAUUUAAAAAUCUACAUCCAUCCUUGAGUGACUAGUUCUUCUCCACAAAUGAUUUUUUCUGUCUACUUGGCUCAUCUGCAAGAUCCCAUUGGUGAGCUGUGCAGUGCUUGCUAGCAUCCCCAGAUUUUAUAAGAGAAAGCAACUCAACGCUUCUGUUAUCUUCGAAGUUUUACACCCAGAGAUGUUCCCUGUGGGCUCCCUGCAGUGG